GGUAGGGGUUAGACAGUACAGAGACAGGUCAUUAAGGAGCAGGUAGGGGUUAGACAGUACAGAGACAGGUCAUUAAGGAGCAGGUAGGGGUUAGACAGUACAGAGACAGGUCAUUAAGGAGCAGGUAGGAGUUAGACAGUACAGAGACAGGUCAUUAAGGAGCAGGUAGGGGUUAGACAGUACAGAGACAGGUCAUUAAGGAGCAGGUAGGGGUUAGACAGUACAGAGACAGGUCAUUAAGGAGCAGGUAGGGGUUAGACAGUACAGAGACAGGUCAUUAAGGAGCAGGUAGGGGUUAGACAGUACAGAGAGGUCAUUAAGGAGCAGGUAGGGGUUAGACAGUACAGAGACAGGUCAUUAAGGAGCAGGUAGGGGUUAGACAGUACAGAGACAGGCCAUUAAGGAGCAGGUAGGGGUUAGACAGUACAGAGACAGGUCAUUAAGGAGCAGGUAGGGGUUAGACAGUACAGAGACAGGUCAUUAAGGAGCAGGUAGGGGUUAGACAGUACAGAGACAGGUCAUUAAGGAG
ensembl:lncRNA